AAGUCGUAACAAGGUUUCCGUAGGUGAACCUGCGGAAGGAUCAUUAACACGUAUCCAACGUUAAACCCCCCGUGAACCUUCAGUGCGCUCGCACUUUCUUAGCCGAACAGUUUUGAUUCAGGGACUUCUGCGUAGACUGUGCUUGAGCGUGAGGCAAGUGGCCUGGCAUUCCUCUGCUUGUUGGUGUCUGAAAGUGUCACCAGCUCUGUACGAAUGGCGCAGUCACGAUCGCUAGAGGCCGACACGGCCGGCGACCGGGUCACUGGGCGCGAGCCCCCCUCGUCACCUUUGCAUGAAAACGGGCCUGCGCUUAAUUGUGCGGCCACCAAACUCGAACAACUGUUAACAAUGGAUAUCUUGGUUCUC
rnacentral:misc_RNA from 1 species